rnacentral:tRNA from 1 species
AGAGAGGUGUCCGAGUGGCUUAAGGAGCACGCUUGGAAAGCGUGUGUGCGGGUGACUGUACCGAGAGUUCGAAUCUCUUCCUCUCUACAAAUC